AAGAAAAGGGAGAUGUCGUAAUGGCAUAUCCUUUGGAAGAUGCUCAAACUAGUUAGCCCCCUUCAAUUGCCACAAUAGAAAAGAAGCCCUAUAUCAACUCAUACAAAGCUUCAAUAUCAAACCCUCUUAAUAAUUCAGCACCAUCAAGGCCACCCUUGCCAAUGGCUUCAAUUAGACAAGGGUGGCCAAUGGUACGUAGCUCUUUCUUUUAUAGGGCUAUUUUAUUUUCGUAAAAGAUGUUCUGAAACUUGAAGUUAUCCAUCGCUUUUCCUUUUAAAGACGAUCUUCUCUUAAUAGGGCAACUUCGAUCCUUUGGCAUUUGGCUUCCUCGCCUGGCAUCUCUCUUCACUUCAUUACACACACACACACACACACAUAUAUAUAUAUAUGAUUUGUGAGGCUCGAGGACAACUCAUAUUAUAUGUUAUAUUUCCAAGUUUUUUCUUGUUUAUCUUUAUAAUUUGGUGGUUUGUUUAGUGACCUUUGUAUUUGUAAGCCAGUGGCCAAAGUUUCAGUGUGCUACAGCCUUCUUGUAGUAGCUUAUCUUUGUAUUUGAUCUUCCUACUAAUAUUAAUUUUAUGUCGUAGUUAAAAUUAUUGGAGUUCUUCAAAAGGUGAAAUUGGUUAAAUUUUGUUAUUAAUUUGUAUAUGAUG
rnacentral:lncRNA from 1 species